rnacentral:lncRNA from 1 species
CAAAAUUAUUAUUCAACAGCUCCAGGACUGUCUAUCUCCUCAUGUACAGAGGUAGGGAUACAAAAUUAGAUAAAGGAUUAAUAUAGGUGUGAUAUUUUCAUAUGAUUGCUAAAUGUGUGGGUUUUUUUAAAAUUCAUUUUAAAGCUACAGAGUUAAAGACUAUAAGUGACAGUGAGGUAUUAAAUCAGACUGAAGGAGAGGAGGAUAACACAGAAGAAAACUCGAACAACAAGUCUGAAGGGAUGAAGGAAACUAAUUCAAAAACCUCCUGUGAACAACGUCUGGCCGACAAGACUAAGACAGAGAGGAAGGAACAAAAGGGUAACAAGAACAAGUUCAUUUCUUUCAUAAAAAAAAAAUGGAAUUCUCUGGAACAUCCCUCCGAACGUGCAGCAGGUCAGAAGCCUGUUGAGACCACUUCAGAGGAUCUGACAGACAAGUUGAAAGAAGAACAGGGUGAAGAUACUGGUCCUGAAGAACAGAAAGGAAACGAAGAACCCAAAAAACUACAGGGACUUCAUUAUGGCCGGUAUGAUCAGGGAGAUACAAAUGAUCUCAACUUACUCUUACGGAAAGAUUCCCAUGAUACAAGCUACAGUGAGAGCUCUGCUAAGAAAAUGAUCACUGAAUACAAGGUGGAACUCAUCUACUGUCUGAUGGCGGAUCAUUCCAUUAUUCUGCAGCAUGCACAUGCCAAACAGAUCAUCACAGACAGACAAUAUCAGAAUAUAAGGGAAAAGUCUACCUCAACACCACAAGAAACUGUCACUGACCUGAUUGAUCACGUGAUUUUGAAGACUGGACCAAAAAGCUGGACUGGUUUCCUUGAUGUUCUCAAACUACCUGAUGUUCUGAGCACUUAUCCACAGCUCAAAGAAAUCAUAAAUAAAAUGCUGCGCAGCAAUAGUGGAAGCAGUGCAUAAGAUGUGAUUUUUGAUGCCAGACAGACAAAAGUGAUAUGAUUUAAAUAAGUCUGUUUAUGUUUUUUUUACAUGCCAGUUUUUCUUCUCAAAAUGUUAAGCAAUAUUUUACAAAUCCACCCUUUACCUUCUAAAAUGCACAUAGAAGGAUCACAGCAACAGUGUUUUCAUUUGAGAGAUUAUAACUAACAGUUGUUUUGUUUUAUGAAAAUAUGUCAGCAUAAAAUACUAAUCCUAGUUUUGAUGAAAUUAAAGACUGAAGGCCUCAACUUUUAUCUGUCAUUGGAUGCCAUGUUGAUACAUUUUGACUGGAUUUUCCUACAUGUACAUACUCAGCACAUUAAGGAUGCUGCUGAACAUAAUCUACAAAAUUGGUGAUUUCUUUGUUUUUGGGGGGUUGCCAUGGUAAUGAAAUGGUCAUUUUAAUUAUAGUUGGAACGACGACAGAACCACUUUGGAGUAUGUUGCCAGGUGUUAACAUAUCUGCCUGUGUAUAUAUAAUAAAUAAAUACAUUUUAAUUUUUUAAAGUUGCAUACAGAAUUUUAAAAAAUAUUUCAUUGUACAUAUGUUACUUUACAUACAUACAUACACACACAACAGAUUAGUUAUCGACUAUUAAAAUUAGGAAUUAGUUCAGCCAGUUUAUCUGUGGUAGUGUUUUCAACUUUGUUUUCUCAUCAUGUUUUUAUGUGUUGUCUUGACGAGCAGAUUAAUAAAUAAAAGUCCGAUUUCAGUACAUUUGAAUGAUAUAAUGGUUGAUGAAUGACUUUAAAUUACAUUUGAUUAUUAAUCUAGACUGGUGCUGAAACAACAGCUAAGUAUCUCGGGAAAACAUUUAGUUGUUGGUUUUUAUCUGUCCAUGAAUAAAGCUCAAACAGAGGGGCAAAAUACACAACACAGUGGAAAGAGUGUUCUGGGGACCUUAUUUCCCUCUGAGAACAGCUUGGACAAAGAAAUAUUUAUAGAGUCCUUUUGUGUUUUUAAAGGUAGCCUAUUCUCAGCAAGACACAGGGACAUUUUAGAACCAUCCUGUGGCGAUAAGUCCAUGUUUUUCAAAGUAUUGCAGUGUUUCAGGUGAUUGUGAGGCUGUUAUAAGCUAUUAUUAUUAUUAUUAUUAUUAUUAUUAUUAUUAUUAUUAUUAUUAUUAUUAUUAUUAUUAUUAUUAUUAUUAUUAUUAUUAUUAUUAUUAUUAUCAUCAUUAUUAUAAAAUCAACAAUGAGAACUAAAAGGGUGGGUUUGACUCGGAUGGACUGUUGACCAUCAUUUUACAUCUGAUCACUUUAUAAAAUGUGAUGUAUCACUGUAAAUAAGUAGUAGAAGACGAACUCUGAUCAUUAAUUUAUGUACCUAUGUUAUUUUUUUUUACAAGUGGGUAAGUCCUGCAUUCAAUUUAACUCCAGUAAAAGUAUAAAGGUAUUAACAGCAAAAGUAUCAAAUAGCAUUUAAAUGUUGUGAGGUGAAGUUUAUCUUAUCUGCUUUAUAUGUUUUUUAGGUGGUUUAGAUCAUAACAAUACAUCAUAUUUUAUAAACUGGUCAACUGUUUUGAAAGUAAAAUCAUAAUGUGAAUAAUGAUUCACCACAAAUUAUGAAUGAAGGAAAGAUUCUCGCGACGGUUUUAGAUGUACAAUAAUAGUUUAAAUACUUCAGACAGACGUGAGAAUGUACAGCAACAACUUCGAGAGUGAGAAUUCAGAAAAUGUUGUACACUGAGUAAACGUAUCAUGGAC